rnacentral:rRNA from 1 species
AGAAUGAACGCUGGCGGCGUGCUUAACACAUACAAGUCGAACGGAAUCCAAGGAGCUUGCUCUGGAAGAUUUAGUGGCGAACGGGUGAGUAUCACGUGAGCAACCUGCCCCGAAGACUGGGAUAACACCGGGAAACCGGUGCUAAUACCGGAUACCUUCCAAUGACCGCAUGGUCGAUGGAAGAAAUGUUUUUCGCUUCGGGAGGGGCUCGCGGUCCAUCAGCUUGUUGGCGGGGUAACGGCCCACCAAGGCUUCGACGGAUAGCUGGUCUGAGAGGACGAUCAGCCACACUGGAACUGAGACACGGUCCAGACUCCUACGGGAGGCAGCAGUGGGGAAUCUUGCGCAAUGGACGAAAGUCUGACGCAGCAACGCCGCGUGAGGGACGAAGGUUUUCUGAAUUGUAAACCUCUUUCGACAGGGACGAUAAUGACGGUACCUGUAGAAGAAGCACCGGCCAACUAUGUGCCAGCAGCCGCGGU